rnacentral:rRNA from 1 species
CGCUGGCGGCGUGCCUAACACAUGCAAGUCGAGCGGGACAUGCGACGGAGACGAAGUACUCGUACGGAGUCAAAGAUGUAAUGUCUAGCGGCGGACGGGUGAGUAACGCGUGAGCAACCUGUCCCUUACAGGGGGAUAACACAGCGAAAGUUGUACUAAUACCGCAUAAGACCACAGAGUGACAUCGCUCAGGGGUCAAAGGAGCAAUCCGGUAAGGGGUGGGCUCGCGUCCGAUUAGAUAGUUGGUGAGGUAACGGCCCACCAAGUCGACGAUCGGUAGCCGACCUGAGAGGGUGAUCGGCCACAUUGGGACUGAGACACGGCCCAAACUCCUACGGGAGGCAGCAGUGGGGAAUAUUGGGCAAAUGGGGGAAACCCUGACCCAGCAACGCCGCGUGAGGGAAGAAGGUUUUCGGAUCGUAAACCUCUGUCCCAGGUGAAGAGGAAGAGACGGUAGCCUGGGAGGAAGCCCCGGCUAACUACGUGCCAGCCGCGGC